rnacentral:rRNA from 1 species
UACGUAGGGUGCAAGCGUUAUCCGGAAUUAUUGGGGCGUAAAGAGCUCGUAGGCGGUGUGUCACGUCGGCCGUGAAAAACCUGCAGCUUAACUGUGGGCGUGCGGUCGAUACGGGGCAUCACUGGAGUUCGGCAGGGGAGACUGGAAUUCCUGGUGUAGCGGGUGAAAUGCGCAGAUAUCAGGGAGGAACACCGGUGGCGAAGGCGGGGUCUCUGGGGCCCGAUA